rnacentral:rRNA from 1 species
UCAGACGAUGCGUCAUGCAUAUCAAUAAGCGGAGGAAAAGAAACUAACAAGGAUUCCCUUAGUAACGGCGAGUGAAGCGGGAAGAGCUCAAAUUUGAAAUCUUCAAGGUUUUACCUUGACGAAUUGUAGUUUAAAGAAGUGUUUUCUGUUGAAGUUUUGGUAAAAGUUCUUUGGAAUAGGACAUCAUAGAGGGUGAGAAUCCCGUAUUUGACCAUUAUUUUCAGCUGUGUGAUACACUUUCAAAGAGUCGGAUUGUUUGGGAAUGCAGUCCAAAAUGGGUGGUAAAUUUCAUCUAAAGCUAAAUAUUGGCGAGAGACCGAUAGCGAACAAGUACCGUGAGGGAAAGAUGAAAAGAACUUUGAAAAGAGAGUUAAACAGUACGUGAAAUUGUCAAAAGGGAAGCGUUUAACACCAGUGUUGUUUUCUGAAAAUCAACCUCUGUUAGCUUUAUGCAUGUUUGUUUAGACCUAAUCAGCUAUCUUGCAUGUUCUAUUGUUUGCAGUGGUGCACUUUUCAGUUUACAGGUCAACAUCAGUUUUUUUUACCGUAAAAAAGUUAAAGAAAGGUAGCUCAUGGCUCCGGUCGUGAGUGUUAUAGUCUUUUUCCUAUGCGGUAGGAGAGACUGAGGUCUGCAGUGUAGGCUAUUUGGCUAGAUACUCAGGUGCUAUGUGAUACCAUUUCAUAAACAACUUGUUGAUUAUGUUUUGUCUAUUGCAUACUCGCUUGUACUAUCAUACCUACGCUUAGGAUGUUGAUCUGUAGUGCGUGCGC